UUUUCCUAAACUUUUGCUGCCAACUCAAAGAUUUCUCCGCUCAUUCACCUGGGAGAUCUGGCAAAAAAAGCAUGGAAGAUUCAUCAUCAAAUUAAAACUACUGUCGAUUGCUUGGAGAUGGGGACUUCUGCUGUAGGUUUGGAAUGAAGGCAUUCUUCCUUGUCAAGUUCUGGUAAUUAUUUUUCACCAUAAAUAAGCACAGAGCCCUUUUCAGCUAUGCAUCACCGAGUAACUGUCAGAAGACAAGUGCCAUGACAAGAAAUGUCCCUCCUUAAAAUGAUUUAUUUAUUUCUACCCAAAGACACCUUGUGGAGGGGAGAGGUUGACAUGAAGUCUUUCUGCUUCACGGAGUGUAAAGAAGAACAAUCUCUCUGAUGAGAAUCCAGAUACUCAAAGAGCCUUUCUUCAGAGUGUCUCCCUUCCUUCUGAUUGCUAUCCCGUGGAACACUCGUACUUCAG